GUCCAGAUUUUAAAUUUUUGUUCAUUGUUAGAGUUAUUGAUUAUCUGAAGGUAGAUAGAUCGAGCAAGGUUUUGUUUUUGAAUGUUUUGCUUUUAUGGCAUAGUAUCUAGGUAUAAGAACAUAACCAUUGUUCAUAUGUGUUUGUUUGUGUUUUUUUAAUGUUGUUUACGGCUAUGAUUCUGUAUAAUGAUUGAUUGAUUUCAGUUUGCU
rnacentral:lncRNA from 1 species